rnacentral:rRNA from 1 species
GACGAACGCUGGCGGCGUGCCUAAUACAUGCAAGUUGAGCGCUGAAGGUUGGUACUUGUACCAACUGGAUGAGCAGCGAACGGGUGAGUAACGCGUGGGGAAUCUGCCUUUGAGCGGGGGACAACAUUUGGAAACGAAUGCUAAUACCGCAUAAAAACUUUAAACACAAGUUUUAAGUUUGAAAGAUGCAAUUGCAUCACUCAAAGAUGAUCCCGCGUUGCAUUAGCUAGUUGGUGAGGUAAAGGCUCACCAAGGCGAUGAUACAUAGCCGACCUGAGAGGGUGAUCGGCCACAUUGGGACUGAGACACGGCCCAAACUCCUACGGGAGGCAGCAGUAGGGAAUCUUCGGAAAUGGACGAAAGUCUGACCGAGCAACGCCGCGUGAGUGAAGAAGGUUUUCGGAUCGUAAAACUCUGUUGGUAGAGAAGAACGUUGGUGAGAGUGGAAAGCUCAUCAAGUGACGGUAACUACCCAGAAAGGGACGGCUAACUACGUG